ACGCUCGACACCUACUGGAGGCAGCAGUAGGGAAUCUUCCACAAUGGACGCAAGUCUGAUGGAGCAACGCCGCGUGAGUGAAGAAGGUUUUCGGAUCGUAAAGCUCUGUUGUUGGUGAAGAAGGAUAAAGGUGGUAACUAGGCCGUUUACUUUUGUACAGGUAAUCAACCAGAAAGUCACGGCUAACAACGUGCCAUCACGCCGGACUGUAAUCUGGAGCGGGGCUAGGCAAGGC
rnacentral:rRNA from 1 species